AGAACAAAGGAAGGAGGAAGUAACUGGUGGAAUGCUGAGAAAGCAUUUCAGUGUGCGGCAUCAUCAUGCAAGCUCUGUAAGAGGAGAGUAAGAUCAGUACUCCUACUUGUAAAUGAAAGAGAAGAAAACAAAAACAAGCAAAUUCCUUCUAAGGUGUGAGGAACACGAGUAAACAGAGAAAUCACCUAAGGAGAAAACAGGAAGCAGAUUUGAAACUGUGGCCACCAACGACACGAGGGAGCGCAAAACCCAGCCCACUUGCCAGGGAGGCUGGCAGAGCCCACACCCAGUCUGGUGCCCUGGUCGGUUACAUUCUGCUCUCCCUGCAGCAUUUUUAGAAGGUACCAAAUAAGAAAAACGUGGAUGAAGAUGGAGAAAGCAUACAAAACUUUUACACACUGGUUUGAAGGAAAAGUGAAAACACAAAACAACAGUAUUUAGAAGUGAAGAGUUAUUGACCAAAAUGCUCAUGGGGGAAAAAAACCAGAAAUGUUAACAAUGCAAGGACUUAGAGAAGCUGAAAAUAUUGCUUUUCUUCCUGAUGGCUUAUGUUUGAGGAACUGCCUCUUCUGGGAAGCCUUCCCUGGUUGCCUCAUUUAAGAGCAAACUUCUCCCUCCUCACCAUCACUAUUUCUCUUGCUCUGUUUAAUUUCCUCCCUCAUCCUCAUCACUUUCUGAAGCCAGAUAAAUGUUUCUUUUGUUUACAGCUGGUUGAUGAUGAGUCUUUCCCACUAGAAGAUAAACAAUAUGAUCCCCAAAAAUCCCCUUUCUAACACUACAUCCCUAAAAGCUAAAGGAAAACCUGAAAACAGCCAUUCAGCAAAAUUAGGAAUAAAAACCAAUACAACCCCCAAAUGCUUCUACAAACUCAUUGCUAUCAAUCAAUGGAUCUUGUUUUGUACAUAUUAACAAACAAAAAAGGGGCAGAAUCUUUUUUCCUGCUAUGAUACAUUUUUCACUUUUUAAAUGCUGUAAAUCUCAUGCCAAUUAGUUUUAGUGCAUGUCAUUGAUCAAGGGUUAAAUUGAAACUGUGGCUUCUCCAGGGUUUUCGGCUAUUUUUUGGAGAAAA
rnacentral:lncRNA from 1 species